CUUUUUUUUUUUUUUUUUUCUCUUCAGAGUGUUUGACCUUUUUGUCUGUUUUCAGUAUCCAAGAAUUACGAAGUAUGAACCCCCAUAAUGCAUUGUAUUCAAGCUAAUUAUUUAGUAGCAAAUUUUGUCCAAAAUAAUAUAGUUUAUUGCAUAGAAUCUAAGGUGUUACUUGACUAUGGUUGCUGCUAUACUUUUGUUUAUAGAUCUGUUGUAAUUUAUUGGAACUUUCAGCUUGGAUUUCUCAUCAAUCAUCAUGUCCAAUUUUUUUGUCUCAUUGUUAGGUUCUAUAAUAUUUGAUGGUUUAUUUCCAACUAAAUGUGGGUUGUAUGCCA
rnacentral:misc_RNA from 1 species